rnacentral:lncRNA from 1 species
CCCUUUCCCCUGGCUGGCAGCGCGGAGGCCGCACGAUGCCUGGAGUUACUGUAAAAGACGUGAACCAGCAGGAGUUCGUCAGAGCUCUGGCAGCCUUCCUCAAAAAGUCUUAGGUCCGGGAAGCUGAAAGUCCCCGAAUGGGUGGAUACCGUCAAGCUGGCCAAGCACAAAGAGCUUGCUCCCUACGAUGAGAACUGGUUCUACACGCGAGCUGCUUCCACAGCGCGGCACCUGUACCUCCGGGGUGGCGCUGGGGUUGGCUCCAUGACCA